rnacentral:rRNA from 1 species
UGCUUUGGCGGGCCCACCGGGGCUCACCUGGUCGCCGGGGGGCAUCGCCCCCGGGCCCGCGCCCGCCGAAGCACCCUAGGAACCCUGAUGAAGUUGGGCUGUCUGAGUCGAUAUGACAAUUGUCAAAACUUUCAACAAUGGAUCUUUUGGUUCCGGCAUCGAUGAAGAACGCAGCGAAAUGCGA